rnacentral:lncRNA from 1 species
CCCUGUUAACUGGGCAUGGAAGGAAGGCCAAGUCUGCCAUUAAGUCUCUUUUUGAGCCUGUAUAUAUUUGCAUAAGGUCCAUUAACUAUAUUAAGUGGUCAUAGAUAAACCAGAUACUUAUAGGCAACUCUAAUAAACUACAUGCAGCUUUGUAGAUUAUUUGCAAUAAAAUUUUAAUUUUAACAAUCCUUUAAUUGUUAAAUUAAAGCCUGCCUAAGCUCUCUUGUAGUAUUUUGCAUAUGUCUGGGGUGGAUCUCUUUAUUGGCUUUUGGCAUAUGCGUUUGGUUUAAAGCAGUCCAAGCAAAACAUAAGUAGAAAGGUAGGCUUACUGAUUAUAUAUGGUAUAUAUAUUUACACACACACACACACAGAGUAAACAGCCAUAAGAACUAUGUCCAGCUCUUUCUAAUAUAGCUAAGUAACUGUAACAGUCAGUUAGUCCACCUGAGGACCCCAGCUUUAUUUUUUAAGUAAAAAUAAAAAUCUUACUUGUUAUCAAAACAAUAUGUUCCUUAUAGUAAAACAGAAGCAAAAUUUUUAAAUAGGAAAUUUGGAACACAAUAAUCAUAACUCCACCAUCCAGGGAUAACCACUGUUAAUAUCUAAGGUUGUAUUCUUCCAGAUCAUUGUAUAUAUACUGUAGAGUUUGGAGUCAUACUAUUCAUUUUAAUUUAAAAUAAACUUAAAAAAAACUUAGCAAUGUAUUGUGACUAUCUUUCUUUCUUUCUUUUCUUUUUCUUUUUUUCUUUUUUUUUUUUUUGGAGACAGGAUCUUAUUCUGUCACCCAGGCUGGAGUGUAGUGGCACAAUCAUAGCUCACUGCAGCCUCAACCUCCUGGGCUCAGGUGUUCCUCCCACCUCAGCGUGUCAGGCAGCUGGGAUUACAGGUGUGCGCCACCAUACCCAGCUAAGUUUUGUUUUUGUUUUUGUUUUUUUGUUUUUUGUUUUUUUUGAGAGAUGGCAUUUCACCAUGUUGCCAAGGGGGGUCUCACACUCCUGGGCUCAAGUAAUCUGCCUGUCUCAGCCUCCCAAAGUGCUGGGAUUACAUGAGUGAGCCACUGCACCCAGUCCCUAUCUUUCCUUCCUUCCUCCCUCCCUCUCUCCCUCCCUCUCUCUCUCUCUCUUUCUUUCUUUCGACAGAGUCUCACUCUGUCACUUAGGCUGGAGUGCAGUGGCCCGAUUUCUGCUCACUGGAACCUCCACCUCCCGGGUUCAAGUGAUUCUCCUGCCUCAGCCCCCUGAGUAGCUGAGAUCACAGGCAUACACCACCAUGCCCAGCUAAUUUUUGUAUUUUUAGUGGAGAUGGGGUUUCACCAUGUUGGCCAGGCUGGUCUCAAACUCCUGGCCUCAAGUGAUCCACCUGCCUUGGCAUCCCAAAGUGCUGGGAUUAUAGGCGUGAGCCAACGUGCCCAGCUGGGCCCCUAUCUUUUAAUAAUAAUAAAUAUUCUUCAAGACUUUC